CAUUCCUGACGUUUAGCUUGCACUGGAGACGCUAGGAACCAUGGCGUCUGGUAUAAACCCGCUCGAUUCACCCCCUCGUUGACCGGCUGACGUGGCAAAGGGCCAGACGCCAAGGACUCCGGCGUCUGGGUCUGAAGACCAGACGCCAGGGACCGUGGCGUCUCGAUGGUUCGAUCUGUGGUGUCCCUCCUGUUGUCUUUCAGCGCGCCCAGACGUCAGGGGCUUUGGCGUUUGGCCCGUGGCACUCUCAGCACGCCCAGACGCCAGGGGCAGUGGCAUUUGGGUCCUGAAUCAGGGCUGGUAUAUGUAAUGAAGGUUUGGUGUGAGUUUCACCAUACUCACUUUCCCCAAUCAUCUACCCGAGCUUGAUGCUUCUAUUCUCCUCUCUCCUACCCCUCAAGGCCCCCAUCGAAUCCUCUUCAAAAGGAUGAGGCUGUUCAUUUAUGUUGAGGUUUCUGUUGAGGCGGCGGCGAAGCGUGAACGCAAAUUUAUUGAGGAAAAAAUGAAUCACUGGAUGGUAGCCGUUGAUGCGUUGAAUGCGGUGUGUAAAGCCUUUUUAAACUACUAUUUUUGUAAGGACGUUGCGAAAAAUUUAAUCGACAAAAAGGAGAGCGAGAUUACCAAGCUCAAAAAGACAGAAAAAGAUUGUAGGCGUAAUCUUGCAAUGCAUGUUGCAUUCUGUGCAAUAAGGGAAGAAUAUGAGCAGUUUAACAUGAACAACCAUGGUCAGGUCAUUCAUUGGUUAGUGAGACAAUCUUUAUCGUCGGAACCGAAGCAGGCAUCUCGUUGGGCAUGGGUCAAAGAAAGAAACGAUGUUCUUUGCUGCAAUCUGGGACCUUACGCCAAAUAAAAUGUAUGUUCAUUACCAUGAGCCUAUGUAAUCUUUGUAAUUUGGAACUACAAUGACAUGUACCCAUUUGCAUAACUUGUUCUCAUUUGAACUAUGAAUUCUUUAUCAUUUGAACUCCAUGAAGAUAUUGGUGUUGUAUGUCAUAUUAAACUAUGUAAUCUUUGUGAUGUUCUAUUGUUUGAA